UUGUGUGAAUACAUAGCACAUUCGAGGUAGACGCAGAGAACUGAAACAUCUAAGUACCUGCAGGAAGAGAAAGAAAAUUCGAUUCCCUGAGUAGCGGCGAGCGAAACGGGAAAAGCCCAAACCAACAAGCUUGCUUGUUGGGGUUGUAGGACUCCAAUAUGGUCGUUCUUUCAGAUAGUCGAAUGACUUGGAAAAGUCAGUCAAAGAGGGUAAAAACCCCGUAGACGAAAUGUGGAAGACACCUAGGAGGAUCCUGAGUACGGCGGAACACGAGAAAUUCCGUCGGAAUCCGGGAGGACCAUCUCCCAAGGCUAAAUACUCCCUAGUGACCGAUAGUGAACCAGUACCGUGAGGGAAAGGUGAAAAGCACCCCGGAAGGGGAGUGAAAUAGAACCUGAAACCGUGUGCCUACAACAAGUCAAAGCCCGUUAAUGGGUGAUGGCGUGCCUUUUGUAGAAUGAACCGGCGAGUUACGAUUGCAUGCGAGGUUAAGUUGAAGAGACGGAGCCGCAGCGAAAGCGAGUCUGAAUAGGGCGUUUGAGUAUGUAGUCGUAGACCCGAAACCAUGUGAUCUACCCAUGUCCAGGUUGAAGGUGCGGUAAAACGCACUGGAGGACCGAACCCACGUACGUUGAAAAGUGCGGGGAUGAGGUGUGGGUAGCGGAGAAAUUCCAAACGAACUUGGAGAUAGCUGGUUCUCUCCGAAAUAGCUUUAGGGCUAGCCUCGGAAUUGAGAAUGAUGGAGGUAGAGCACUGUUUGGACUAGGGGCCCAUCUCGGGUUACCGAAUUCAGAUAAACUCCGAAUGCCAUUCAUUCAUAUCCGGGAGUCAGACUGUGAGUGAUAAGAUCCAUAGUCGAAAGGGAAACAGCCCAGACCACCAGCUAAGGUCCCAAAAUAUAUGUUAAGUGGAAAAGGAUGUGGGGUUGCACAGACAACUAGGAUGUUGGCUUAGAAGCAGCCACCAUUUAAAGAGUGCGUAAUAGCUCACUAGUCGAGUGACCCUGCGCCGAAAAUGUACCGGGGCUAAACAUAUUACCGAAGCUGUGGAGUACACCUUUAGGUGUAUUGGUAGGAGAGCGUUCUAAGGGCGUCGAAGGCAGAUCGUGAGGACUGCUGGAGCGCUUAGAAGUGAGAAUGCCGGUAUGAGUAGCGAAAGACAGGUGAGAAUCCUGUCCACCGAAUGACUAAGGUUUCCUGGGGAAGGCUCGUCCGCCCAGGGUUAGUCGGGACCUAAGCCGAGGCCGAUAGGCGUAGGCGAUGGAUAACAGGUUGAUAUUCCUGUACCCGUUGUUUUUGUUUGAGCAAUGGAGGGACGCAGG
rnacentral:rRNA from 1 species